rnacentral:lncRNA from 1 species
AUUCCUUUCAAAGUAGCUAUCAUAAAGUAUGACACAAGAGACAUCUUUCCCAGCUUGGUGGGAAGCAAACCCUUGGUCAUCACUCUUCAAAAAAGAGGGUACAAGCAUAUUCGAGUGAAAGCUCAUCUGUCCUUGAUCUUCCUGUCAUUAACCAAUACCCCCUCUGCCCAGACUUCAUGAAAAUGAAAGCUGGGAGAUGGAGACUCAAAGAAAAGCAGGAUUCAAGAUAUCAAGGCCUCCCCCAUUUCAUAAAGCCAACCAAAAAAAUGAUGAUUCUGGAUGCCCCAAGGCACCUACAACUUCCCCUCAUGGAUUUUAUGAAUGACAAGUUGAUAAACUCAAAAUACAAGUCUACAGAAACCUUUCUCAAUGAGGACAUCAAAGCAGAAAAUGUUAAGUACAGACUGCCAAUGAGGGCCAUCUGGGGUCCCAAAAAACCCUUACAGACACUAUAUACUGACCUUAUAACAUCCUCCAAGACUCCAACUUACAAAAAAGAAUCUCUUCCAGAUCCGAAGAAUACGUGGGCAGAAUUCAACAUCAACAAGAUUCCUAAGCACAGUAAAUACUACUGA